GGAGGUAUAGCUCAGUGGUAAAGCACUUGCCUACCAUGCACAAGGCCCUGGGUUCAAUCCUCAGUACCACAA
rnacentral:tRNA from 1 species